rnacentral:rRNA from 1 species
CCUACGGUGGCAGCAGUGGGGAAUAUUGGACAAUGGGCGAAAGCCUGAUCCAGCCAUGCCGCGUGUGUGAAGAAGGCCUUCGGGUUGUAAAGCACUUUCAGUGGGGAAGAAAGCCUUGGGGCUAAUACCCUCGAGGAAGGACAUCACCCACAGAAGAAGCACCGGCUAACUCCGUGCCAGCAGCCGCGGUAAUACGGAGGGUGCGAGCGUUAAUCGGAAUUACUGGGCGUAAAGCGCGCGUAGGCGGUCUGAUAAGCCGGUUGUGAAAGCCCCGGGCUCAACCUGGGAACGGCAUCCGGAACUGUCAGGCUAGAGUGCAGGAGAGGAAGGUAGAAUUCCCGGUGUAGCGGUGAAAUGCGUAGAGAUCGGGAGGAAUACCAGUGGCGAAGGCGGCCUUCUGGACUGACACUGACGCUGAGGUGCGAAAGCGUGGGUAGCAAACAGGAUUAGAUACCCGAGUAUC